GUUCACUGUGGCUGCCGACAUGGGAAAGCCUACAGUUCCCUACGGGUGCUCCCUGGUUAGCAUAUUCCUCUUUAAAUAUACCAAACUACAACAUGGGUGACAGUCAUGAUCAUUUUACUCCUUUUCAUUUGAUCUCAUUUUUUCAGCUUAGGCAUGCCAACAAUGUUUGUUGCAACCGUUCCAACUAUAUAGACUUGGAAGAAGUGCGACCUGUAACUCCCUUACAUGGAUGGCAGAUGACUGCAAUCACCCCCAGCUCUGUGGUGACACCCCUGCAACGUCAUGUGGUUCUCGGACUGACGUGCCGCCACUGCCAGCUGCUUCGCCGUCUGACUUAGUUGGUCUGAGUGAUUACUACCAGUACUCGAGGACAAAGUACCCGGAGCUUCAGACCCAAUUGCUAAAUUACUGAAGGAACAGAAUGCAAGAAGCAUGUCUCACAUUUUCAACCGCCUGACAGAACACACAACUAGACAUGUUCUAGCUCAGUGCUCUGAGCGACAAGUGCAUCUGCUGCCAGAUCCGUGGAUCCACAGACUGUCCACUUAGGCCAUGGCACCUUGUAACAGCCUGAUUCACCUGCAACUUGAGCCAUCCCUCAUCCUAUGUACAAGGCGAGAGUUCGGGUGGUGUAGCAUCGCUCAAGGGGAAGCGCCGAAGUUAUUCUACAGAAGAAGCCUAGGGAGAUCACAGCACAGCGCCUGAAGCAACAAUUCAAGAGCAAUGUGUAUUUGACAAUAUGCCACUAAGAUCAAGGAGUUCUCCUCUAAGUUAUGUGACCAACUGAAAUGUUUUUACGCCUGUGACCAGAACAAUGUUGGCACAACCAUCUUUGGCCACACGACACACCCUCUUCCGAAACAGAAGUAUUUAUGUGGACCUAGUUACGCCAGCAACCCAUGGAUGAAAGGGUUUGCAACUUCCCAUCCCGGUCCAGUGUUGCUGAUAUGAUGGAACAGUAUAUGCGACGCAGAUAAGCUAGAGAGAGCAUCUUCACCGGCGCCCCUCCAAAUAGGAGCUGACACCUCCAACACGCCAAAUCGCCAUCAUAUUCUGGCUACCAAAUCACCAUUUGACGAAGCUAGAGAUGGUGUUGCCUUUGAGGAUAGAAUGACAGUUCGGAAGCGGAAGGAAAUACAUGUGGAUUGCUCUGAACAUGACCCGUCGUUGCUGCUGGAGAACGACAAUUCAUGGCUUUCAGCUGCUUGUAAGAAUGUGAAGGAGGCCUAGUACGAGCAGGGAGAAAGCACCAUACAAAGAUGCAGGUAGAAGAUCAAGGUUUUGCAGCAUAUGCAAAGAAACCUGGGCACAAAGAAAAACGACAUGUCCUGAACGAGGAGACAUGGCAAAGCUGCCAAGAAAGGAAGCUAGAUGCAGCUGAUGUGGUGUAACUGGGCAUUUAAAGAGAACUUGUAUGAAACAUGUGGGAUUCACGAAUUGUAACUGACGAGCUGUAGAUUUGUAGGAAACUAGUUUCAGAACAAAUCUGUACUGAAAAUUCAGAUUUCUUAUGGAGGGCAGUGGCAAAACCAUGUACUGAA